UACGGGGGGAGCAAACGUUGUUCGGAAUCACUGGGCGUAAAGGGCGUGUAGGCGGCUGAAUAAGUGGGAUGUUAAAUCCCCCGGCUCAACCGGGGACCUGCAUCUCAUACUGUUCAGCUCGAGCACAUCAGAGGAGACUGGAAUUCCCGGUGUAGCAGUGAAAUGCGUAGAUAUGCGGAGGAACACCGAUGGCGAAGGCAAUCCCCUGGGCCUGCACUGACGCUCAUGCACGAAAGCGUGGGGAGCAAACAGG
rnacentral:rRNA from 1 species